AUACGUAGGUGGCGAGCGUUGUCCGGAAUUACUGGGUGUAAAGGGUGCGUAGGCGGACUGGCAAGUUGGAUGUGAAAUCUCCGCGCUUAACGUGGAGGUUGCAUUCAAAACUGUUGGUCUUGAGUGAGGCAGAGGCAGGCGGAAUUCCCGGUGUAGCGGUGAAAUGCGUAGAGAUCGGGAGGAACACCAGUGGCGAAGGCGGCCUGCUGGGCCUUAACUGACGCUGAGGCACGAAAGCAUGGGUAGCAAACAGGAUUAGAUACCCUGGUAGUCCAUGCUGUAAACGAUGAUUGCUAGGUGUGGGUGGACUGACCCCAUCCGUGCCGGAGCUAACGCAAUAAGCAAUCCACCUGGGGAGUACGGCCGCAAGGUUGAA
rnacentral:rRNA from 1 species